GAUGAACGCUGGCGGCAGGCCUAACACAUGCAAGUCGAACGAAGUCUUCGGACUUAGUGGCGCACGGGUGAGUAACACGUGGGAAUAUACCUUUCGGUGGGGAAUAACAUCGGGAAACUGAUGCUAAUACCGCAUACGCCCUUCGGGGGAAAGAUUUAUCUCCGAGAGAUUAGCCCGCGUCCGGUUAGGUAGUUGGUGAGGUAAUGGCUCACCAAGCCUGCGAUCGGUAGCUGGUCUGAGAGGAUGAUCAGCCACACUGGGACUGAUCCACGGCCCAGACUCCUACGGGAGGCAGCAGGUGGGAAUAUUGGACAAUGGGCGAAAGCCUGAUCCAGCAAUGCCGCGUGAGUGAUGAAGGCCUUAGGGUUGUAAAGCUCUUUUACCCGGGAUGAUAAUGACAGUACCGGGAGAAUAAGCCCCGGCUAACUCCGUGCCAGCAGCCGCGGUAA
rnacentral:rRNA from 1 species